rnacentral:rRNA from 1 species
UACGAAGGGGGCUAGCGUUGUUCGGAAUCACUGGGCGUAAAGCGUAUGUAGGCGGAUCGUUAAGUCGGGGGUGAAAUCCCGAGGCUCAACCUCGGAACUGCCUUCGAUACUGGCGAUCUUCGAGUCCGGGAGAGGUGAGUGGAACUCCGAGUGUAGAGGUGAAAUUCGUAGAUAUUCGGAAGAACACCAGUGGCGAAGGCGACUCGCUGGACAGGCAUUGACGCUGAGGUGCGAAAGCGUGGGGAGCAAACAGG